rnacentral:rRNA from 1 species
CGAACGGGUGAGUAAUGCGUGACCAACCUGCCCCAUGCUCCAGAAUAGCUCUUGGAAACGGGUGGUAAUGCUGGAUGCUCCAACUUGACGCAUGUCUUGUUGGGAAAGNGUUUAGUGGCAUGGGAUGGGGUCGCGUCCUAUCAGCUUGUAGGCGGGGUAAUGGCCCACCUAGGCUUCGACGGGUAGCCGGCCUGAGAGGGCGGACGGCCACAUUGGGACUGAGAUACGGCCCAGACUCCUACGGGAGGCAGCAGCC